GGGGAUGUAGCUCAGUGGUAGAGCGUGUGCUUUGCAUUUACAAGGCCCUGGGUUCAAUCCCCAGCAUCUCCA